ensembl:rRNA 5S_rRNA 5S ribosomal RNA
GCUUACGGCCAUACCACCUUAGGCACGCCCGAUCUCUCGUCUGAUCUCGGAAGCUAAGCAGGGUCGGGCCUGGUUAGUACUUGGAUGGGUGACCGCCUGGGAAUACCAGGUGCUGUAAGCA